AUUGAACGCUGGCGGCAUGCUUUACACAUGCAAGUCGAACGGUAACAGGUUAAGCUGACGAGUGGCGAACGGGUGAGUAAUGCAUCGGAACGUGCCCGAUCGUGGGGGAUAACGCAGCGAAAGCUGCGCUAAUACCGCAUACGAUCUGAGGAUGAAAGCGGGGGACCGUAAGGCCUCGCGCGAUCGGAGCGGCCGAUGUCAGAUUAGGUAGUUGGUGGGGUAAAGGCUCACCAAGCCAACGAUCUGUAGCUGGUCUGAGAGGACGACCAGCCACACUGGGACUGAGACACGGCCCAGACUCCUACGGGAGGCAGCAGUGGGGAAUUUUGGACAAUGGGCGAAAGCCUGAUCCAGCAAUGCCGCGUGCAGGAAGAAGGCCUUCGGGUUGUAAACUGCUUUUGUACGGAGCGAAAAGGUCCCCUCUAAUACAGGGGGCUCAUGACGGUACCGUAAGAAUAAGCACCGGCUAACUACGUGCCAGCCGCCGCGGUAACAC
rnacentral:rRNA from 1 species